AACGAACGCUGGCGGCAUGCCUAACACAUGCAAGUCGAACGAACCCUUCGGGGUUAGUGGCGCACGGGUGCAUAACGCGUGGGAACCUGCCUUUAGGUUCGGAAUAACUCAGAGAAAUUUGAGCUAAUACCGGAUAAUGUCUUCGGACCAAAGAUUUAUCGCCUUUAGAUGGGCCCGCGUUAGAUUAGAUAGUUGGUGGGGUAAUGGCCUACCAAGUCGACGAUCUAUAGCUGGUCUGAGAGGAUGAUCAGCCACACUGGGACUGAGACACGGCCCAGACUCCUACGGGAGGCAGCAGUGGGGAAUAUUGGACAAUGGGCGAAAGCCUGAUCCAGCAAUGCCGCGUGAGUGAUGAAGGCCUUAGGGUUGUAAAGCUCUUUUACCAGGGAUGAUAAUGACAGUACCUGGAGAAUAAGCUCCGGCUAACUCCGUG
rnacentral:rRNA from 1 species